GACGAACGCUGGCGGCGUGCUUAACACAUGCAAGUCGAACGGUGAACUCCGCUUGCGGGGGGAUCAGUGGCGAACGGGUGAGUAACACGUGGGCAACCUGCCCUCAGCUCUGGGAUAACUCCAAGAAAUUGGGGCUAAUACCGGAUAUGACCGCUGACCGCAUGGUCUGGUGGUGGAAAGAUUUAUCGGCUGGGGAUGGGCCCGCGGCCUAUCAGCUUGUUGGUGGGGUAGUGGCCUACCAAGGCGACGACGGGUAGCCGGCCUGAGAGGGUGACCGGCCACACUGGGACUGAGACACGGCCCAGACUCCUACGGGAGGCAGCAGUGGGGAAUAUUGCGCAAUGGGCGCAAGCCUGACGCAGCGACGCCGCGUGGGGGAUGACGGCCUUCGGGUUGUAAACCUCUUUCAGCAGGGACGAAGCGAAAGUGACGGUACCUGCAGAAGAAGCACCGGCCAACUACGUG
rnacentral:rRNA from 1 species